UACAGAGGUCUCAAGCGUUGUUCGGAUUCAUUGGGCGUAAAGGGUGUGUAGGUGGCGCGCUAAGUCGGGUGUGAAAUUUCGGAGCUUAACUCCGAAACUGCAUUCGAUACUGGCGUGCUUGAGGACUGGAGAGGAGACUGGAAUUUCCAGUGGAGCGGUGAAAUGCGUAGAUCUUGGAAAGACCACCAAUGGCGAAGGCACUCUACUGGGCCAUUACUGACACUAAGAGACGAAAGCUAGGGGAGCAAAUGGG
rnacentral:rRNA from 1 species